GAUCAGCUGUACUGUAGCAUCCAGGGACGAUACGGCGUCGAGCGGCGGACGGGUGAGUAAUGCCUAGGAAAUUGCCCUGAUGUGGGGGAUAACCAUUGGAAACGAUGGCUAAUACCGCAUGAUGCCUACGGGCCAAAGAGGGGGACCUUCGGGCCUCUCGCGUCAGGAUAUGCCUAGGUGGGAUUAGCUAGUUGGUGAGGUAAGGGCUCACCAAGGCGACGAUCCCUAGCUGGUCUGAGAGGAUGAUCAGCCACACUGGAACUGAGACACGGUCCAGACUCCUACGGGAGGCAGCAGUGGGGAAUAUUGCACAAUGGGCGCAAGCCUGAUGCAGCCAUGCCGCGUGUAUGAAGAAGGCCUUCGGGUUGUAAAGUACUUUCAGUCGUGAGGAAGGCGGCGUCGUUAAUAGCGGCGUUGUUUGACGUUAGCGACAGAAGAAGCACCGGCUAACUCCGUGCCAGCAGCCGCGGUAAUACGGAGGGUGCGAGCGUUAAUCGGAAUUACUGGGCGUAAAGCGCAUGCAGGUGGUUUGUUAAGUCAGAUGUGAAAGCCCGGGGCUCAACCUCGGAAUAGCAUUUGAAACUGGCAGACUAGAGUACUGUAGAGGGGGGUAGAAUUUCAGGUGUAGCGGUGAAAUGCGUAGAGAUCUGAAGGAAUAC
rnacentral:rRNA from 1 species